rnacentral:rRNA from 1 species
UACGUGAAACCGUUUAGGAGUAAACCUGAGAAACCCGAAAGGUCGAAGGGAGAAAUUCAUUCGCGUCUCGACGCGGGCGUCGGACGGUGUUGUGCGACGGAAAGCGCGUUCGCGCGCUUUUCGCGCCCUCCGUUCGACGAACCCGCGACGAACGCGUGCACUUUUCUCCUGGUAGGACGUCGUGAUCCGUUGGGCGUCGGUCUACGGCCCGCGGUGGAGCUCGUUCGUACGUUUCGCGACGUACGGGCGGACCCGCGGUGUCCCGGCCGACUCGCUCGACGGUAACAGAAUGGUUGGAGGCCGCUCGUUUAGUAGCGUUCGGCUCGCGGCAAGCGCGCCAGAUGCGUCGGCGAUCGGACCUAGUGCCGAUUCCGACCUCCGGUGACUGUUGGCCGCGACGUUCUCGAACAGACCUUCUACAAAACCGAUCUGCGACGCUAUAGCUUUGGGUAAUUUCAGGACCCGUCUUGAAACACGGACCAAGGAGUCUAGCAUGUACGCGAGUCAUUGGGAACGAUUAAACCUAAAGGCGCAAUGAAAGUGAAGGUCCCCCUCGCGGGGACCGAGGGAAGACGGGCGGUUUCAUUUAAUAGGUGGCCGCCCCGCACUCCCGGGGCGUCUCGUUCUCAUUGCGAGAAGAGGCGCACCAAGAGCGUACACGCUGGGACCCGAAAGAUGGUGAACUAUGCCUGGUCAGGACGAAGUCAGGGGAAACCCUGAUGGAGGUCCGUAGCGAUUCUGACGUGCAAAUCGAAUCGUCGGAACUGGGUAUAGGGGGCGAAAGACUAAUCGAACCAUC